rnacentral:rRNA from 1 species
GAUCCUGGCUCAGAUUGAACGCUGCGGCAUGCCUUACACAUGCAAGUCGAACGGCAGCACGGGAGCUUGCUCCUGGUGGCGAGUGGCGAACGGGUGAGUAAUACAUCGGAACGUACCCUGAAGUGGGGGAUAACGUAGCGAAAGUUACGCUAAUACCGCAUAUUCUGUGAGCAGGAAAGAGGGGGAUCGCAAGACCUCUUGCUUUAGGAGCGGCCGAUGUCGGAUUAGCUAGUUGGUGAGGUAAAGGCUCACCAAGGCGACGAUCCGUAGCGGGUCUGAGAGGAUGAUCCGCCACACUGGGACUGAGACACGGCCCAGACUCCUACGGGAGGCAGCAGUGGGGAAUUUUGGACAAUGGGCGCAAGCCUGAUCCAGCCAUGCCGCGUGAGUGAAGAAGGCCUUCGGGUUGUAAAGCUCUUUCGGUGGGGAAGAAAUUGCACAGGAUAAUACCUUGUGUAGAUGACGGUACCCGCAUAAGAAGCACCGGCUAACUACGUG